UUAAAGUUACGAGAAUAAUCAAUUGUGUAACAGUCUUACACUAAACCAUGAGAAGGAUAUUGCAAGGCGCAACUAAAUUACUAGAAAUAUUAGUAAUAAUUCGACGGGAAGAAAGUGAACGGCAACGCCUCAUGGAAAAAUGCAUUAGACCUACAAUGCAUCAUGAUAAUUUGCUGAUGGAUUUACUACAUCAAGUUCUUUGUAGACCUAAGGAAAGCACAAGAGAUCCGGGGAGCCACAACAAUAACGCUAGGGAAACAGGACCAUCAGAUUGAAAGCCUCUAACAUUAUUACAAAUGUGGCCCCCAGAGAACCCAAAAGCAAAAAUACUAUUUAAGUAGAUUGGGUUUUGCUCAAACAUCCCUACUAACAUCUCCUUCAAUUCAGUCAUAAGGCUAAGGAUAUGUGGUUUUUUACCCUUUUCCACUGUUGACUCUGGUCAUAUGCAAAUGGGAGAUGGGUUUAUAACCUCAAACCUUGAAUAACCUGAAAAUGCUAUGAAGUC
rnacentral:lncRNA from 1 species